AGGAGAAGUCGUAACAAGGUUUCCGUAGGUGAACCUGCGGAAGGAUCAUUGUCGAAACCUGCCAAGCAGAACGACCCGUGAACAUGUUUAUUACCAUUAGGGGAGUAGCUUGUUGGCCUCUUCCCAUUGCCUCAUACCGAGGGUGCGUUCGGAUCCCUUUGGGACAUCGUACUCAUCCUUUGGUUGAUAAAUCAAAACCCGGCACGAUUUGUGCCAAGGAACUGGAACAAGAGAGCACGAUCAUGUCCAAGCGUGUUUACAUGUUUUGGGGGUUGGUGUGUCUUUUACGAAAUAAAAUGACUCUCGGCAACGGAUAUCUCGGCUCUUGCAUCGAUGAAGAACGUAGCGAAAUGCGAUACUUGGUGUGAAUUGCAGAAUCCCGUGAACCAUCGAGUCUUUGAACGCAAGUUGCGCCUGAAGCCAUUAGGCCGAGGGCACGUCUGCCUGGGCGUCAGCCAUUGUGUCGCUAUUCCCAAUUGCCCCACCUAAGAGUCGGUGAGCAAUGGGCAAGGCGUAUAUUGGCCCUCCGUGCGUACUCGUCAACGGUUGGCCUAAAAAUGAGUUCUUGACGACACACGUCACGAUAAGUGGUGGUUAACAAAUCGUUGCAUCCUAUCGUGCGUGCCCAUGUUGCCACGAGUUGGCUCAUAUGAUUAACCUGAAGUGUUGUGACUACAAUGCACCGAUUGCGACCC
rnacentral:rRNA from 1 species